GACGAACCGUGCGAACGUUGUUCGGAAUCACUGGGCUUAAAGGGCGCGUAGGCGGCCCGCCGCGUCCGGGGUGAAAUCCUCCCGCUCAACGGGAGAACGGCCUCGGAUACGGGCGGGCUGGAGGCGGGUAGGGGCACGCGGAACUGUGGGUGGAGCGGUGAAAUGCGUUGAGAUCCACAGGAACUCCGGUGGCGAAGGCAGGUCUCUGGGCACUUACUGACGCUGAGGAGCGAAAGCGUGGGGAGCGAACAGG
rnacentral:rRNA from 1 species